UUUUUUUUUUUUUUUUUACCUUUUAUUAUUAUUGACAAAGGAGAGGGAGAGAGGACUCAAAAACUUAAGAUCUUGCACAAAUUGAGAGGUGCAUUAACCACAAGGUUAUGUGUGUAGAUGAAUGAAAAUAUUAACAAUUUUAACUAAAGAAAUAGAUACUGAUAUAAAGCAAUCUAAAGUUGCGAUAGGCAGAGAGUCCUAUGGGAUUUCACAGGAGAGAAACAAAUCCUCAUUUGAACUAUAUACCCUAAUCCAAUGGAGUCAUUCAGAAAGAUGUACACAAUAAAACAGGUUGACAUUCGAAGAGGUUGGUACAUUGUCACAUCAAGACCAUUGG
rnacentral:misc_RNA from 1 species